rnacentral:rRNA from 1 species
UCUGGGACAAGCCCUGGAAACGGGGUCUAAUACCGGAUAUCACUCCUGCCUGCAUGGGCGGGGGUCGAAAGCUCCGGCGGUGAAGGAUGAGCCCGCGGCCUAUCAGCUUGUUGGUGAGGUAAUGGCUCACCAAGGCGACGACGGGUAGCCGGCCUGAGAGGGCGACCGGCCACACUGGGACUGAGACACGGCCCAGACUCCUACGGGAGGCAGCAGUGGGGAAUAUUGCACAAUGGGCGGAAGCCUGAUGCAGCGACGCCGCGUGAGGGAUGACGGCCUUCGGGUUGUAAACCUCUUUCAGCAGGGAAGAAGCGAAAGUGACGGUACCUGCAAAAAAAGCGCCGGCUAACUACGUGCCAGCAGCCGCGGUAAUACGUAGGGCGCAAGCGUUGUCCGGAAUUAUUGGGCGUAAAGAGCUCGUAGGCGGCUUGUCGCGUCGGAUGUGAAAGCCCGGGGCUUAACCCCGGGUCUGCAUUCGAUACGGGCAGGCUAGAGUUCGGUAGGGGAGAUCGGAAUUCCUGGUGUAGCGGUGAAAUGCGCAGAUAUCAGGAGGAACACCGGUGGCGAAGGCGGAUCUCUGGGCCGAUACUGACGCUGAGGAGCGAAAGCGUGGGGAGCGAACAGGAUUAGAUACCCUGGUAGUCCACGCCGUAAACGGUGGGAACUAGGUGUUGGCGACAUUCCACGUCGUCGGUGCCGCAGCUAACGCAUUAAGUUCCCCGCCUGG